GCGUGACACGAUGUAAACUUGACCCCGAUUCGCCCUCCCAACUUUUGUAGGAUUAACCUUGACCCCGUCUUCAUCCCUCCCCGGAUAUUUCCCAAUUAUAAGUAUCACUUACUCCACGGCUCACUUUUAUUUUUCCAUUCGAUGCCCUUCCAACAACGUUUGGUUUCCCUCUUGUGCUACAGAACAAAUACGCGAGAAGGGCCUGGCCCGCUGAGCCUUUCUGAAGGCUAGCGGUUGAAGCUGAGGAUGUCAAAAUGGAGAACGAACAGCCUUUCCUUAACUGCAUCGAACACCUUGGAAGGGGCACGUCGACGAGCCACCUGCAUCGGAAGGGUUGGUGUUGCCCCUGCGCACAACCUGCCCCUCCUCGGAUACGGAGUGGUGCUGACCAGCCAACGGUUGCCACCAUUCUGGACAGAUCUGCUGGGAAGGGGGAAGUACUUUUGGCACGUGGUAGCAGCGAGCACAAAGCAGACGGAUAGCGAGCAGAAGAGUCGCGUUGAGCGUUGGAUAGUCGACUUUUGUCACAGAUCUCGGUGUGUGUGUGUGUGUGUGUUGUGAACGGACAGGUGGAUGUUUGGGGCUGUUCGGCACCCCUCAAGCUCGACUGUGCAUCGAGUGCGGUGCGACUGAAUGGAUGCAUCGUGAGGAAGUGGAAGUGCGCGAGGCGGUGGAGUCUACAAU
rnacentral:lncRNA from 1 species